rnacentral:misc_RNA from 1 species
CUUCAAAAAGCUGCUCAAAUGGGUUCAACUACUAGCAGCAACAACUCUAAUCUGCUAAGAGGCCUGGGAGGUUCUCCAUCAACGGGUACUAAAUCCGAUAGGCCACCACUGGUUUCUACUAACUUUGGCAGCAAUACUUUUGGCAAUGCAACUGUAGGAGAAGGUGGCCUAGGAACACAAAUGGAAAGUGACAACCAACUUCAAGGAUUGAUGAAUUCUCUUGCCAACGGGGG